GAAGAAAUACCAUGGGAGCGUGUAUGCUAGCGAAUGGGUCGUCUGGGAAAGAAUGUCUGACUCGUGGUUAUGAUUUAACAAUGGGGCAUAGAGACACAUCCCAGCCACAGGUUCCCAACAGAAUUGUUUACAAAGGCUGAGCAUUUACCUGAGGCCAUGAGAUAAUCAACAUUCAAGGCAUGGCAAUUCAUGUUUUGGAGGGUUUUGAGGAAAAUAGAUUACAUAGGUCUGGUUGUACCUUGGAGGACCAUUCCAGAACAGAAAGGAUUUUGAAGAUAGAGAAAUCCGUGAAUAUUGGCACUGAGCGAAAGUUUCUUUACCAAGAUUCCUUAGAGAAGAGUCUAUUUUACCAGUUUCUAGUAUGUGGCUUAUAUUCUAAAAACUAAUUGUAGACCAUUUUUGUAACAUCUCUACAUGAGUUUUCAAGUUUUGUAUGGGAUAACUUUUUAAAUGCCUUUGGAAAUAGAAAUUAGGAGGCUGACACAUGUUCUUCAAGAGAAUAAGCAAUUGACCUUUAUCCCAUUUAACCAAAUAACAUAUAAGAAAGCGUUUGAAUUGCCAAGGAACUCUCAGAAUAAAAUGAAAGGGUUGGACUUGUAGAAAUUUAUAGGCAUCUAUAUCGAUGUAUGCAAUACAGAUAGUUAUCACCGUUGAGAUGUGUAUCAAAGCUUAUGGGCCAGUCUUCCGGGAACUUUUUUUCAAGAUGGCCGACGGCACUACAAGGAAAUCACUUUUUUUGCCUUUCCACCUUCCUUUUUUUUCUACAGCAGACAAGUUGGCAGGAUCUUCAGCAGCUAGCUUGGAUCCUGAGUAAACACGAGGCUGGAGGUCAGGGGCUCCACAUAAUGACGAAAAAAGAUGGCACAAACUUAAAUCUCUGAUAACCACAGAGCUACCUACCAUCCCAGCUCUGGACUGUCCCCAGUAGGCUUCUUUUACUGGAGAGAAAAAUCAAACUUGAUCUUGUUUAAGCCACUUAUUUGAGUUUUCUAUCAAAAGCA